UACGAAGGGGGCUAGCGUUGCUCGGAAUUACUGGGCGUAGAGGGCGCGUAGGCGGACAGUUCAGUUGGGGGUGAAAGCCCGGGGCUCAACCUCGGAAUUGCCUUCAAUACUGGCUGUCUUGAGUGUGAGAGAGGUGUGUGGAACUCCGAGUGUAGAGGUGAAAUUCGUAGAUAUUCGGAAGAACACCAGUGGCGAAGGCGACACACUGGCUCACUACUGACGCUGAGGCGCGAAAGCGUGGGGAGCAAACAGG
rnacentral:rRNA from 1 species